rnacentral:rRNA from 1 species
GAUGAACGCUGGCGGCGUGCCUAAUACAUGCAAGUCGAGCGAACGGACGCGAAGCUUGCUUCUCUGAUGUUAGCGGCGGACGGGUGUGUAACACGUGGAUAACCUCCCUAUAAGACUGGGAUAACUUCGGGAAACCGGCGCUAAUACCGGAUAAUAUUUUGAACCGCAUGGUUCAAAAGUGAAAGACGGUCUUGCUGUCACUUAUAGAUGGAUCCGCGCUGCAUUAGCUAGUUGGUAAGGUAACGGCUUACCAAGGCUACGAUGCAUAGCCGACCUGAGAGGGUGAUAGGCCACACUGGAACUGAGACACGGUCCAGACUCCUAAGGGAGGCAGCAGUAGGGAAUCUUCCGCAAUGGGCGAAAGCCUGACGGAGCAACGCCGCGUGAGUGAUGAAGGUCUUCGGAUCGUAAAACUCUGUUAUGAGGGAAGAACAUAUGUGGAAGUAACUGUGCACAUCGUGACGGUACCUAAUCAGAAAGCCACGGCUAACUACGUG